CCUAACCAGUCACUCUCUCCAGGUGAGACCACUCAAGCCCUCUGGUCAUCAGCAGCAAUGCAGGGGCGCCUUCGGCAGACUGGACUCCAGACCAGGCUUCGGGGUGGUGAGGAAGAAGGUGCAAGUCAGGAGCUGCCUACGUGUUCCGGAAGAAGCCACGUGCUGAUUUGUAGGCGGCCUGGCCAGGUGCUUCAGAGACUCCGGCGGCAUCGAAGGCGUGAUUUUAGAUCAGUGCUCUGGAGGCACUUGUGUUAUUUAAGCUCCCCAGCUCUAAACGGAGGGAGCCAAUUAGGCUGUCCUGCAGCAGCAGGUGGUGAGAUUGAAGCUUCCAGGGGGAGCAAAGAGCGAGGACUGUGCAGCAAGGAUGUGUGGCCCAGGUGGGUCUCCCUCCCUUCCUGUGCUACUUCUGCAGGGCCAGUGCCCACGGGGUCCAGGGCCCCUUUUGGAGGGCUCUGUGGUGGAGGAAGCUGCUCCUCCUCCUUCCUAUGGCCCACUCCCCGUCCCAGGGGCGGCUGGCCCUGCUUCACUGCCUGGUGGUGGGUGAGGAGGUCGCUGUGAGAUGAGACACACUCCAAAGCUGGGUGGAGAAACCAGGCUGGGAGCCGAGACCUUCUCCAGCCAGCUCACGCCCUGAACAACACGAGAAGGAAGCUGGGGAUGGCCUCAUACUUGGAGCUUCUCCCACCUUGUCAACGCCCCCAGGCUUCCUUCCAGAGCCCUCUUCAAGCCCCUGCUGCCUCUGUCCUCACUGCCAACCCUUGUGUGGUGUCCAGUCUCCAAAAUGGCCCCAGAGAUCUUGUCUCUGGUAUUCAUGCCCUUGGGGAGCCCCUGCCACUUGGAAUCAGGCGGAUUCACGUGACUUCAGGGCUGGCCAUAAAGCAUCGCCUCUUCCGUCUAGUCUGUCAGCUCAUGUACUCUGGGGGAAGCCAGUCACCAUUUCACGAGGAAGUUCAACGACCCCAUGGAGAAGCUCGUGUAAAGAGGAACCGAAGCCUCCAGCCAACAGCUGUGUGAAUGAGCCACUUGGAAGCAGAUCCUCCAGCCCCAGUCAAACCGUCAGAUGACUACAGCCCCGACCGCCGCCUCACUGCAGCCUCAUGAGAGACUCCAAGCCAGAACCACCCAGCCAAACCACUCUUGAGUUCCUGGCCCACAGAAACGGUGAGAGAUAAUAAAUGAUUGUUGCAAGUUUUGGGGUGAAUUGUAACGUAGCCAAAGUAACCAGAGUACCUUGGGAAAUUGUACCGCAACUCAUUGAGAAAGGCAUCUUGGAGUGUCUCCUCCCUGAAUCCCAGCCCGCCUGCAGGCUGCUGUGUUUGUUUUCUAUGCUGUGCAACACAUUAUCACAAACUUUGGAAAGAAGUCAGCAUGCACUUUACUAUAUCACAGUUUCUUCAGCUCAGAAGUCUGGAAACUGGCCAGGCAUGGUGGCUUAUGCCUGUAAUGCUAGCACUUUGGGAGGCCAAGGGAGGAGGAUUGCUUGAGGCCAGGAGUUCAAGACCAGCCUGGGCAACAUGGUGAGACUCUGCCUCAAAAAAAAAAAAACAGAAAAGAAAAAAUUAGCUGGGUAUGGUGAUGUGUGCCUACAGUCCCAGUUAGGAGGCUGAGGCCAGGGGAUCAUUUGAGGCUAAGAGUUCAAGGCUGCAGUGAGCAGUGAUUGCAUCACUGUACUCCAGCCUGAAUGACAGAGUGAGACUCUCUUAAAAAAAAAAGUAAAAAAAGAUCUGGGCACAGUGGCUCAUGCCUGUAAUCCUAGCACUUUGGGAGGCUGAACAGGUAAAUCAUGAGGUCAGGAGUUCAAGACCAGCCUCACCAACAUGAUGAAACCCUGUGCUAACUAAAAAUACAAAAAUUAGCUGGGUGUGGUGACAUGUGCCUGUAAUCUCAGCUACUUGGGAGGCUGGGGCAGGAGAAUCACUUGAACCUGGGAGGUGGAAGUUGCAGUGAGCCAAGAUCAUGCCAUUGUACUCCAGCAUGGGCAACAGAGCAAGAUUCUGUCUCAAAAAAAAAAAAAAAAAAAGAUGUCUGGAAACUGCUUUACUGCAUCCUCUGUUUCAUAUCUCCUCAGGUUGCAAACAAGGUGUCAGCUGGGCUGAGUUCUCAUCCGGAGGCUCAAGUGAGGAAGGCUCUCUUUCGGACCGUGCUAGUUAUUGUCAGAAUUCAUGUUCUUGCUGCUGUGUGCCUAGGGGCCUGAGGUCUUUGCUGGCUGGAGGCUGGGACCACCUGCAGUCCCUAGAGGCUGCCAGCACUUCCUCACUUCAUGGGUUUCCUCCAUGUGGCCAGUGAUGAGGAUCCCAGUCCAGUCUGCAAAGUUGGAGUCUUUUCUUAUGUAACGUAAUCAUGGGAGUGAUGUCAUCAUCUUUGCCAUGUUCUGUUGGCUAGAAGGAACUGCCAGGCUUUGCUUACAUGUCCAGAGGAGCUUACCCAAGGGUGAUUGCUCGCAGUCACUUUAAGGUGUGUCUGCAGUUACUGAUGGGGUUUUUUUGGCCAAAGCGCUGGCUCUAGAGAGGAAGAGGGUCUCUGCCUCAUGACUGGGUGCCCUUGACAUGGGUUUCCUGAUCUCCAUCCAGUUUUCUACAUCGGUGAGAAAGACUGGUUUCCCAAGAAUUAGGCUUUUUUCCCGGAUAAGAUGGGGCAGUCUCAUUUGAAUCAUGCAGGCCUGUGGGAUUAACAUGAUUCGAACCCAGUUCCUACAAAAUAAUAAUUCUGGUGCAACAAUUGAGCUUACUGUGUGCCAGACACCAAAUUAGGUACUUAAAAAAAUUGAGUUGCCAUUCCAUUAUGUUUCCCUGGCUGGUCUUGAACCCCUGGGUUCAAGUGAUUCUUCAGUCUCGGCCUCCCUAGUAGCUGGGAUUACAGGUAUGUGCCACCACACCCAGCCUAAUUAGGGACUUUAAUUCAUUAUCUUAUUUAAGAAUCACAGCAGCCCUAUGAGUAGGUUUUAUUUUUUCCGUUGAAUAUUCCUUCUGAGGCACAGAACUUACAAGUGAAGUGUCCAAGGUCAGCUAAUAGCUGUUAGCCAGGACUUUUUGAAGCCAAUGUAAACUGCCCAAAGCAACUAGCAGGAGGUUGUAUUACUGGCUCACAUGCAGAAACACGAAGGCUUAGAGCUGGGCCUCAGGCACAGUUGGAUCCAGAUUCACCAGUGAUGUCACCUGGAAACCGUCUCUCUCCAUCUCCGAAUUCAGCUUUCCUCUGUCAUAGCUUUGCCCUCAGGCGGGCUCUCUCUAGUGGUAGCAGAAAUGGCUGCAGCCAGCUCCAGGAGAAGGCCAGGCUGGAUGGCCUUGGCCUAGUUGGGUCUUGUCCUUAUGUCUGGACCAACUAGGGUGUGCAUGUUCUGCGUGACCAGUCCUGAGCAGAUCAGGCCCGUGGCUGAGCCACAUACAGCAAGAGUGACGACAGGGUAGAAUCCAAGAUGCUUCUACCAAAGAAGAGAAAGGGGUGCCGAGCAGGCGACGGCACUGGAUUCCAAUCCAGUUCCAUCUGACUCCAGGGUGCUGCUGUCAGUCACUGUGCUGAGGAGUCCCGGGUGUGGCCAGGACUGUACGGGUGCCUAACUCACUCCCAGGCCGGUCCUUCCUGGAAGCGGCACCAUGAAGGCACAGGGCCUCUGCAGAAAUAGGAUGUGGGUGGAGGAACAGCGUGCUGGCUUUUUUUUCGGAUAGGGUCUCACUCUGUCAUCCAGGCCAGAGUGCAGUGGCAUGGUCGUAGCUCACUGCUCCCUGGAAAUCCAGGGCUCAAGCAAUCCUCCCAUCUCAGCUUUCCAGGUAGCUGGGACUAUAGGUGCACAUCACCAUGCCUGGCUGAUUUUCUUUUCUUUCUUUCUUUCUUUUUUUUGAGACUGAAUUUUGCUCUUGUCGCCCAGACUGGAGUGCAGUGGCACAAUCUUGGCUAAUUACAAUCUCCACCUCCCGGGUUCAAGCAAUUCUCCUGCCUCAGUCUCCUGAGUAGCUGGGAUUACAGGUGCCUACCACCACACCCAGCUAAUUAUUGGAUUUUUAGUAGAGAUGGGGUUUCACCAUAUUGGCCAGGCUGGUCUUGAACUCCUGACCUCAGGUGAUCCACCUGCCUCGGCCUCCCAAAGUUCUGGGAUUACAAGCCUGAGCCACCGCGCCUAGCGUUUUGUUUAGAGACAAGGUCUCAUUGUGUUGCCCAGGCUGGCCUCGAACUCCUGGGCUCAAGUGACCCUCCUACCUUGACCUCUCACAAUGCUGGGAUUACAGCAUGAGCAUGAGCCACCGUGCCCGGCCUGAGAGCCAGCUUCCUCUCCAUGCUAGGGAGAGGAGAGCGGCUGACUUCAGA
rnacentral:lncRNA from 1 species